UUUUUUUUUCUUUUUUUUUUUUUGGGUCGAAGUGUCGCUACCACCAACGAAGAAAUUUGAGGAUACAGUCUCAAAUUAUAAGCCAAAGACAAACUAAAAAGACUACAAUUACAAUACAUCCUAUCGCUAAAACAUUCUUUUCGCAUACUGAUAGUUAAUUCUUUUCAGAAAUGAACAAAUAGGGAGAACAAUUUGUCAACUAGACAGAGACCAACUCACGCAAACAACCCUAGGCCAAAAUAUCUACUAAGCUGCAAAACAUCACACGAUUAAAUCAGCAGGCUCCAGAGCCUAUGAUCCUCAAAUCAUUCAUGAGUGGCACCACCUUUCACUUGAAAAAACCCAAGCACAAUCAUAAAUCUCCCUUACAUGAGCGCCAAUCUUCCCAUGAGAUAAGAGCUUGGUUUUUUCUGGAAAUUUCCCCAGCAAUUCCAACAUGGAAGGAAAUACUAGACACAAGAAGAGUCAUCCGAUGCAAGCAUGAAAACAUUUUACUAGCUAGGAGAAGAAGAGAACAAGACAAGCAAAGCAGACAAGGUAAACAACCAAGCCCCAUCUAAUCUGACAGCAUCAGCAAAAGCGACAGAAAUCACUCAUUUGUUCACAUAGACUCCUGAAUAAAAUCAAUCCUAUGCCAUCCUAAAAUGGGUGGCCAAAUAAAAUUGCAGCACAAUCAAGAGAAUCUCAGAGGCCUCCACUGCAGCAAUAAACAAAGAGCAGAAAGGAAAUUAACAGUAUCCUCCAGCUGUAAUCAUACAAAAUUAGUUAACCAGCAUACAUAAGGGCUUCUUUCUCUUAACCCAUAUCGGAACCUCAAACAUCAAAAGGAAGUGAUUAAAAUCUUCUCCUUGGGCUUCUAGAGCGAUGACCACGUGGAGAUCU
rnacentral:lncRNA from 1 species